AAUCAACGCUGGCGGCGUGCCUCAGACAUGCAAGUCGAACGAUUAAAGCUCUCUUCGGAGAGUGUAUAGAGUGGCGCACGGGUGAGUAACACGUAAGUAAUCUACCCUCGAGUGGGGAAUAACGUCCGGAAACGGACGCUAAUACCGCAUAAUGCAGCGGCACCGCAAGGUGACAGUUGUUAAAGGAGAAAUUCGCUUGAGGAGGAGCUUGCGGCAGAUUAGCUUGUUGGUAAGGUAACGGCUUACCAAGGCUACGAUCUGUAACCGGUCUUAGAGGACGGUCGGUCACACUGACACUGAAUAACGGGUCAGACUCC
rnacentral:rRNA from 1 species